GUUCCUGCAUACCUGAGGCCUUCUGAAGUAGGAUUCAGUCUGAUGGAAUUUCAGUACUACCUAGUUGUGAGGUUGCACAUAGAUAGCUGAAGUCUGCUACCUUGGGGAGCUACCUCUGUGUUUACUCUUUAAAGUACUUUGGCAUCCUGAAAUACAACUUGCUGUGUAAGAUUUUCAGUUUCUGUUACCAUUAAGUCAGAAGCUUGACAGUUUCAUGCUCUUACUAUUUCUACUUGUUGUUGCUGCUAAAAAAAAAAUUAUAUGUGUCAUAAAUUUCACACUCAGACUGCUGGACGAAGCCUUGCCUCUGAACUUGUAAAUUCUUAUACAGAGCUGUCAAUGUAUCUUAAAAAUCUUUCCUUGUGGAGGUUUUGCUUCUGGUAUGACAUGGUCAAAAACAAAAUAAUCUUGUACACAACUAUUUCUCACCUAUUGGAAAUACAAUAAUAUCACUAAA